UACGGGGGGGGCAAGCGUUGUUCGGAAUUACUGGGCGUAAAGGGCUCGUAGGCGGCCAACUAAGUCGGACGUGAAAUCCCUCGGCUUAACCGGGGAACUGCGUCUGAUACUGGAUGGCUUGAGUUCGGGAGAGGGAUGCGGAAUUCCAGGUGUAGCGGUGAAAUGCGUAGAUAUCUGGAGGAACACCGGUGGCGAAGGCGGCAUCCUGGACCGACACUGACGCUGAGGAGCGAAAGCCAGGGGAGCAAACAGG
rnacentral:rRNA from 1 species